GCCCGCUUGGCUAAGCGGUAUAGCGUGUCACUAGUAUUUACGACUUGACAUGACAAGGUGAUCAGUUCGACUCUGAUAGUGGGCA